CCUCCAGGGCUAUUGCUGGGGCUCGGUACCUCCACUGCUAAUUCACUGCACCUGGAGACCAUUUUCCCCAUUUUUGUUGCCUUUGUACCCUUGCUAUUGUUAUUAUUGUCAUUAUUGUUGUUUAAAUUUUAAGUGGUCUGAGUUUCAGAGCACUGCACUUGCAAGUAUGAGGUCCUGAGUUAAUUCCACAGUUCUGCCUCCCCACCACACACACACACACACACACACACACACACACACUGUCUCUAAGAAUUUAUGUAUUUAUUCAUGAGAAAGAUAGGAGAGAGAACCAGACAUCACUGGUACAUUUGCUGCUGGGGAUCAAUCUCUCAACCUCAUGCUUGAGAGUCCAGUGCCUUAGCCAUUGUGCCACCUCCCGGACUACUACGGUUUUUUUAUAUAUAUAUAUAAAGCUGAGGUCUCAUGCAUGCACAAUUACACAAAUCAUGAGCCAACAUAAUUCAGACAGAGGCACACAGAGGAAAAGACAACAUAGCACUGAAGCUUCCCUGGGAUCUAAGAGCCUCAGCCAUGAAAGUCUGUGGUUUAAACUGCUGUGCUAUUUCCCUGGCCAUUACCCUCAAUCUUAAAAAUUAAAAAAAAAAAAAAAAAGAGUCCCUUGGUGCACUGGAUGGAGCAUUGGAUUCUCAACCAUGAGGUCCAGAGUUCAAUCCCCGGUAGCACAUGUACCAGAAAGAGUCCCCCAGGAGUGGUGGCAUUGUGCAGGUGCAGAAACCCUAGUGGCAAAAAUUAAUUAAUAAUUAAAAAAGAACUUGGUGAUUUUUUUUCUUCUGGUUACAGUUAUCUGCAUUAUUAAGAUUUUUGUAUCUGAAGAAGAAAAGAGCAAUAAAAUGGGUUUAUGAUCCAUAGUCAUAGAAAAAAAAAAAACAACAGUUGGAAGUACUGAAUCUUCUUUUUAGGGAAAUAAACUAAGUAAGAAAUUAGAGGGCAGGUGUAGAUAGCAUAAUAGUUAUGGAAGAAAGUCUCAUGCCUGAGGUUCCAAAGUCCCAGGUUCAAUCCCCUGCACCACUACAAGCCAGAGCUAAGCAGUGUUCUGGUAAAAGAAAAGAAAUUAGAAGAUCUGAGUUCCAGUAUCAGUUCACCAUCUGGAACUCCUGAGUGAGGACAUGCAAAAACAAACAAACAAACAAAAAUCCUUUGGCACCAAGUCAUUAUUUCUGGAUUACAUAGACCAAGUGAGAAAAUGAACAUGUGUUAAAAUUUACAAGUUUUUAUAUAUAAUACAGUAUUUUUUCUUCUUUUCAUAUAAAAUUUCAUAAUACUUUCUAUGCCAAUACAACAAAAAAAUGUAAACCAUUCCUGUGAAAGAGAUCACUAAGAAAUUCCUCAAUUAUAACCUUUUCCAGAAAAAAUAUUAGGUAUCGGGGGCCAGGCAGGUUAGCACAGUGCGUUAAGUCCACAUGGUACAAGGCGCAAGGACUGGCAUAAGGAUCCCAGUUGGAGCUCUGGCUCCCCCCCUGCAGGGGGGUCACGUCACAGGCGGUGAAGCAGGUCUGCAGGUGUCUGUCUAUCUUUCUCCCUCUCUGUCUUCCCCUCCUCUCUCCAUUUCUCUCUGUCCUAUCCAACAACAACAGCUAUAACAACAAUAACAAUAAAAACAAGGGCAACAAAAAUGAGAAAAAUGGCCUCCAGGAGCAGAGGAUUUGUGGUGCAGGCACCAAGACCCAGCAAUUACCCUAGAGGCAAAAAAUAA